AACGAACGCUGGCGGCAGGCCUAACACAUGCAAGUCGAACGCUCUCUUCGGAGGGAGUGGCAGACGGGUGAGUAACACGUGGGAAUCUACCCAGUACUGCGGAAUAACACAGAGAAAUUUGUGCUAAUACCGCAUACGCCCUCAGGGGGAAAGAUUUAUCGGUAUUGGAUGAGCCCGCGUUUGAUUAGCUAGUUGGUGUGGUAAUGGCGCACCAAGGCGACGAUCAAUAGCUGGUCUGAGAGGAUGAUCAGCCACACUGGGACUGAGACACGGCCCAG
rnacentral:rRNA from 1 species